rnacentral:rRNA from 1 species
ACGGGGGGGGCGAGCGUUGUUCGGAAUUACUGGGCGUAAAGGGUUUGUAGGUGGUCUGCUAAGUCAGACGUGAAAUCCCUCAGCUUAACUGGGGAACUGCGUCUGAGACUGGCGGACUUGAGGACAGGAGAGGAACGCGGAAUUCCAGGUGUAGCGGUGAAAUGCGUAGAUAUCUGGAGGAACACCGGUGGUGUAGACGGCUCUCUGGACCAUAACUGACGCUGAGACACGAAAGCGUGGGUAGCAAACAGGA